rnacentral:lncRNA from 1 species
AUCUACUGAAAAUGCUCCUCUGCAUGUUUAGAGAAUGAAGUGGAAAUAUUCUAAUUUAUAAACAGUUCCCACACACAUCCCUGCGAGGAUCGAAAGCUAUCAAAGGAUUAAAAUACAUGCAAUCCUACUCUUUGGUAACACUUUCUUUUUCACUCUCAUCCCCACCAUGUCAGUAGCCUAAGACCCCUUUCAACCUGUAUUUCACAUUCCUGGACAUAACUGUGUGACAAGUUGAGGGCAAGGACAUAGCCACAAAGUGAAAGAGUCACUCAGUCUGUGCUCUCACCUUUGAUUCUACAAAUGGAUUCAGGAACCGCUAUUUACUCAAUGCUUGUGUCCCCCAAACUCAUAAGUUGGACCUAAUACUCAAGGUGAUAGUGUUUUUUGGGGGUUUUUUUUGGUUGUUGCUUGGUGUUUUGUGUUUUUAGGGCUGUACCCACGGCAUAUGGAGGUUCCCAGGCAAGGGGUCCAAUCGGAGCUGUAGCUGCCAGCCUGCACCACAGCCACAGUAACUCGGGAUCCAGGCUGUGUCUGCGACCUACACCACAGCUCAUGGUAACAUUGGAUCCUCAACCCACUGAGGGAGGCCAGGGAUCGAACCCACGUCCUCAUGGGUACUAGUCGGGUUCAUUAACCACUGAGCCACGAUGGGAACUCCUCAAGGUGAUAGAAUCUUAAUGAAAAGGAUAUGAGUGAACUUAUUUGUGGAACAGAAACAGAAUCACAGACUUUGAAAACAGACUUAUGGUUACCAAAGGGGACAGGUGGGGGAGAGGAGGGACUGGGGGUUUGGAACUGGCAUAUGCACGCUGUGCUGUGUGGAGUGAAUGGCCAGUGGGGACCUGCUGAAGAGCACGGGGCACUCUACGUAAUAUUCUGUGAUAAUCUAUAUGGGAAAAGAAGCUGAAAAAGAAUAGAUGUGCGUACACGUAUAACUGAAUCACUUUGCUGCACAACAGAAACUGUCACAACAUUAUAAAUCAACUAUACUUCAAUCAAAGUUUUUAAAAAUGAAAAAAAACAAAGACAACUACCUAUAAGGAAGUGGGCCCCCGCCAGACGCCAGAUCUGCAAGCACCAUGAUCUUGGACUCUCCAUAUUUAUUUUCUCCAAACUGUGAGAAACAAAUACUGUGGCUUAUGCUACCCAGUCUGUCUGUCUGUCUGUCUGUCUGUCUCUUUCACACACACACACACACACACACACACACACACACACACACACACACACACAUUCUAAUAGCCAGAGUAGACUAAGGCAGGUUCCUACCUGCAAUAAGGCAAAAAAGCUCCCCAAACAUAUUGCUUAGCCUUCAGGAACAGGAUUAGCUAAAUGUCAAGUGACAAAAAAAUGCUUCUGUAUCAUAAAAACCACUUCCGUCAACUCCAUGAGUCACAGGUAAAAUUUUUUUUUUUUUUUUUUUUUUUUUAAUGAUUGAAAAUACAAAGAUUGUGUCUUUGCCGAAUCAAGGCCCAGGGCUGCGAUUGCCAAUGUCUCUGUGCAAGUGCCGUCUUCGUGCCCUGGGGGGAUGCUGAGGAAGCUGUGGCUGGAGCUGCUGGUAGAAGAACAUACCUGAUCCCAACCACCCUCUACACCAAGAUGCCAAUAAGAGCCAUUAUUUAUUUCCAGGGACUCUAAACGAGCCUUUUAAUGUGUUCAGACCUAGAGAGAGGCAGCUAGACUUUAUCACCAUCUUUUAGACAAGGAAAGGGAGACUCAAAGAGCUUCUGAAACUCGCCUGAGGUCACCCAGAGAGCAAGGGGCAGAGCUGGAAUCCAAACUCUCUUCUGUCUAAAGCUGAUCCUUGCCUUGCCCCAGAAUUUGCACUUCACUUUGCUCAGUACCAAAAAGAAUUUUGUCCAACUUCGAUGAUUCGAUGAACACGAUUUAUCUUCCGUCUCUCGGGUUUUCAAUAAAACGUCUGAAAUCAUUUUCUGUAGGCAAGGAGAGUCAGAUAACCUCAAUUCUAAAAUUCCUUCCAAUUAAAAAUGAAAGAAGGAAGGAAGAAUGGAAGGAAGGGAGGGAGGAAGAAAGACUUCAGUUGCUGAGCUGCCCGGGAGCUGCCUCAAAUGCAAAUUUUCGAUGCGAUUCAGUAGACCUAUGACUUCAGAUAGAAUCGAUAACAAUGACAAUGAGGUUACGGCCUGAGGUCCAAGUUCAGGAGAUUUUUUGGAGCUUUAGAGAUAGGACUGGGGGAGCGGGGUAAUCAUUGUCCAGACCAAGGCUCAGCAGGACUGUUGGCAAAAAGAGGGCCAGAGAAGGGAGAAAGAUGCCGAAUGGGAGGCCAGAAGGCCAUAAAGACAGAU